CUCUCCAAUGGGCUCAUGGGCACAGGUGAAUGUUCCAUGACUCGUUUGAAGACAUCUCCAUAAUCAAGGGUGCUUUCUGCUUCUACACAUAUUUUUGCCAUUGUCCGAACUGCCAGCUCUGGAUAUGCUCCAGCUGCUGUUUCACCACUCAGCAUCACACAGUCAGAACCAUCAAGAACUGCAUUGGCAACAUCAGUGGCUUCAGCUCUAGUUGGUCGGGGUGACUU
rnacentral:misc_RNA from 1 species